AUUGAACGCUGGCGGAAUGCUUUACACAUGCAAGUCGAACGGCAGCACGGACUUCGGUCUGGUGGCGAGUGGCGAACGGGUGAGUAAUGUAUCGGAACGUGCCCAGUCGUGGGGGAUAACGUAGUGAAAAUUACGCUAAUACCGCAUACGAUCUAUGGAUGAAAGCGGGGGAUCGCAAGACCUCGCGCGAUUGGAGCGGCCGAUAUCAGAUUAGGUAGUUGGUGGGGUAAAGGCCCACCAAGCCAACGAUCUGUAGCUGGUCUGAGAGGACGACCAGCCACACUGGACCUGAGACACGGUCCAGACUCCUACGGGAGGCAGCAGUGGGGAAUUUUGGACAAUGGGCGAAAGCCUGAUCCAGCCAUUCCGCGUGCAGGAUGAAGGCCCUCGGGUUGUAAACUGCUUUUGUACAGAACGAAAAGGUUUCUACUAAUACUGGGAGCUCAUGACGGUACUGUAAGAAUAAGCACCGGCUAACUACGUGCCAGCAGCCGCGGUAA
rnacentral:rRNA from 1 species